rnacentral:lncRNA from 1 species
UUAUUUCUUCUUCUUCUUCUUCUUCUUCUUUUUUCUUUUUUUCUUGUCGGAUUUUUCACAUUUUCGCGGGCUGAAGAAAUAAUUGAAAUCUUUUUGAACAGCUUCUGAAUCUUUCCAUCAUUCAUUUGUUUCAGGAUGGGCGAGAGGCGUGACGGCGAAAUUGUGACGUCACGUCGGCGGUUAUGAGCGAUGACGUCAUGGUGGUUAUGUCCCUUUUGACGUCGCCGUGCGACUCUCACGUCGCAGGCUCCAAGGGACUUCUCAACGGCCCAGGGCAAAACAACUGCUUCCUCAACAGCGCUGUCCAGAAUUGGUGAUGCUGAGUAUCCUGAGUAUGCUGAGUAUGCUGAGUAUGCUGAGAAUGCUGAGUAUCCUGAGUGUCCUAACUAUAUGAUCUCGCCAGUGUUCAAACUAUACCUGUGUUAUCCCUAGUAUAUUUUUUUUACUUAAGUUUUUUUGUGGGUUUAUUUUACUUAAGUUUUUUUGUGGGUUUAAUUUCUUUAUAACUUUUAUACAGUUUUUGUUUCUUUUUUGAUAACUUUCUGUUUAUUUUCUUAUGUUCUUAUAGUUUCUUCUUUCGUUUUCUUUUCUUUUGUAAAUAUGUUUACUUACUGAAUUAAUAAAUAAAAGAAAAAAAAACAAAAACGGUGUUGCAUUUCUUAAAAACCUGGUCCCUAUGCUGGUAAAAGUAGCGGUCCUAAAUCUAGAGUUGACAGAAUUCUCUGGACAGAAUUCCCGAUUGUAGCAAGAGGCCAACUAGACCGAGUUUACUAAAAACGCAACAAGUACCAUCUUGGACAAUUGUGUUAAUGUUUUUCUUUGGAAGUAAACUAUUCCUAAAAUGGUGUCUUGCCAAAAAUUGAGAGGCGAUAAAAGAUUUUCUUUUGAAUCAGAAAAUAGGUGUUCUUGCGCCUAGCAUUCACUCUUCAGAAGUAUAAAAAAAGGCUUUUAAUUCUUGGUGCAACGUUGAUGCGACUUGGUGCGCUUUUGCUAAACUCCAUUCCCACAUCUGUCCUCAACAA